rnacentral:rRNA from 1 species
CACACGACUCUCGGCAACGGAUAUCUCGGCUCUCGCAUCGAUGAAGAACAUAGCGAAAUGUGAUACCUGGUGUGAAUUGCAGAAUCCCGCGAACCAUCGAGUCUUUGAACGCAAGUUGCGCCCGAGGCCACUCGGCCGAGGGCACGCCUGCCUGGGCGUCACGC